rnacentral:lncRNA from 1 species
GAGAGAGAACAACUGGUAAAACUGUCAGAGACAGUCUGUCCUAGCGAUUGACCUUUAGUACUUCAUUAACUUCGCUACGUGCUUCAAAUAUAAGCAGCACUCAUCUGUCGUUCACCCUCUAUCUUUCUCCCGCUCUCUGUCUGUGUUAUUUUAUUGUACAAAUAAACAGAGUGUUGGACUAGUUGCCAGAAUAUAUUAACGUCAUGAAAGGACUUGCAGUUUGGAAUGUAAUACCUGGGGUGAUAUGCUGUUUAGGCGGAUUCUGCAAGUAAGCGUUUCAUUUGACGGUGUAUACUAUGGGUUUCUCAUUAAGCAAUAAGUAUGGGGUAAAUUUCACGCCAUAUGUAUUGUGGCAUGCACAUUUAUAUAUGUAUAUAUAUAUACAUAUAUAUAUAUAUAUAUAUAUAUAUAUAUAUACAUGAAAAAUAAAGUUGAGAAUGUAAACAUUAUAUUUUCGAGGACUGUUGAAAUAAUGAAUGUUGAAAUCAAAAACCAAACAACUGAAAACAAAAUGCAUAGAAUUGUAAACAAAAAUAAGACAUCAAAAUCAAAACCAAAAAACUUGUAAGCAAAUCAUUUUAAAGCGAGAGCAAAACUCAAUGACAAGUGAUUUAAAAAAAAUGCAACCUAUUGAAUACAUUUUGCCUACGCUCUUGCCUGCAUUUAUUACCUUUUGGUUACGCUACUCGUAUAUUUGCUUUUGAUGUUUAUUUUUUUGUUUUCGUUGCCCGUUUUUUCUAUUGUUUGUUUUGGUAUUAUUUUCCGUGAAGGGCGGGGUUUAGAGGUAGGCGUAGACAAUGAGUCUCCAUUGGUCCACUCGUUUUGGAGUGACGGUUUUCUUAACCCAAUCAAUGAACAUGAUAGACAGGCUUUUUCUAUUGGAUAUAUAUCCAGAUGGUCUGACGUCACCACCACGCCAAAUCUUUCCCACUGUGUUAUAAACAUGGCGAACCAGUUAACAAAACCUGCACUAAACUUUGGCAGAGAGAGUAUUCAGAGGUGAUUUUUGGCUGCACACAGCCU